GAACUCUCCAAUUUAUAUUUUUCUGUAAAUAAACAUCAGAUUAUUUUUUAUUGGACUAAUUAUUAGCAAAUAACAUCUGUAACUUAAUUUAACGUAAAAUUUAAAAAAAAGUAAUAUAAAAAAAAUUUUUUUUGUAAUUAUUUUUAUCCUUUUGAUAUCUGAUUUAAUUUUAUCCAUAUAAAAUAGUUUGAAUUUUAUAUUCAUAUAGGAGGAAUGUGAGUUGUUAUGGUUAAAUGAACUUAAUUGGGGCGUCAUUUGCCAAUGAUGAUGAUGGUGUUGUUGAUAUUGAUGGUGUUGAUUUGAUGGUGUUGAUUUGAUGGUGGUCAUGACACCAGUAUGUUCCUCAUUGUUGGCACAACAUGAUGGUGUGGUAGAUUUUUAUACAGGGCGAGCUCAUCAAACGCCGUCCAAUUUGUCAAAACUGUAAUAUGGUGCUGCUGACUCGAMAUCACCUACGAAAAGGAUUAUUUGUUUAUAAUAUUGAAUAAUAUUCUCACAUCAGUUUUGAACGAUAGUAGUUUAUAUUUUUAUUUUCAUGAGCCAGAACUUAUAUAUUGGUUAUUAUGUAUCACUUAAUUGAUUUUGUUUGCUUAUUUCAACCUGGAUUUUUUUWAAAUAUUAUUACACCUACUUAAAUGAAUUCAAUUUAUAGGUAUGUUAUGAAAAUAAAUCUUUUUUUAUAGUUGAAA